AGGAAGAGCUGAAAUAAUACAAGAGGAUCUACGUGUCAUUGUCUUUCCUGCCGAAGGUGCUUUUGUCCUAUGCUGGCUAGCAUACUUAACAUUUAGUUAUGGUCAUUGUGUGGCAGCUUGUAAAAAAAGGAAAGCUCUUAACUGUUGGAAUAAACCUCUGAACAAACACAGAAGUAAUCCGAAAAAUGCUCAGGAUCCACCAGAGAGUCUUGAACUACAAA